AUUGAACGCUGGCGGCAUGCCUUACACAUGCAAGUCGAACGGCAGCACGGGAGCAAUCCUGGUGGCGAGUGGCGAACGGGUGAGUAAUAUAUCGGAACGUGCCCAGUCGUGGGGGAUAACGUAGCGAAAGCUACGCUAAUACCGCAUACGAUCUAUGGAUGAAAGCGGGGGAUCGCAAGACCUCGCGCGAUUGGAGCGGCCGAUAUCAGAUUAGGUAGUUGGUGAGGUAAAGGCUCACCAAGCCGACGAUCUGUAGCUGGUCUGAGAGGACGACCAGCCACACUGGGACUGAGACACGGCCCAGACUCCUACGGGAGGCAGCAGUGGGGAAUUUUGGACAAUGGGCGCAAGCCUGAUCCAGCAAUGCCGCGUGCAGGAUGAAGGCCUUCGG
rnacentral:rRNA from 1 species